AUUGAACGCUGGCGGCAUGCUUUACACAUGCAAGUCGAACGGCAGCGCGGGGUUCGUCCUGGCGGCGCGUGGCGCACGGGUGGGUAAUACACCGGAACGUGCCCAGCUGUGGGGGAUAGCUCGUCUAAAGCCGGCUUAAUAACACAUACGACCUGCUGGUGAAACCGGGUGAUCUUUGGACCUCGCCCGAUUUGAGCGGCCGAUGGGAGAUUUGCUAGUUGGUUGGGUAAAGGCCUACCAAGGCGACCAUCGGUAGCUGGUCUGAGAGGCCGACCCGCCACACGGGAAGUGAGACACGGCCCAGACUCCUACGGGAGGCAGCAGUGGGGAAUGUUAGGCAAUGGGCGAAAGCCUGACACAGCAAUGCCGCGUGUGAGAUGAAGGCCUUCGGGGCGUAAAGAACGUUUGGGGGGAACGAAAAGGAGUGGACGAAGACCACGGUUCGGUGACGGUACCCGCUGAAGAAGCACCGGCUAACUACGUG
rnacentral:rRNA from 1 species